rnacentral:rRNA from 1 species
CGGCAGCGAACGUAUCACUUAAAGCGAUUCAGCGGGUUACGAUUGACGGAGCGAAGCGACGUCAAAGCGUAUACAAAGUCGAGUCGGUUUAAGGAUACGUUCGUUGGGUAGGGGAGCGUUCUGUAAGCCUGUGAAGGUGGCCUGUGAGGGUUGCUGGAGGUAUCAGAAGUGCGAAUGCUGACAUAAGUAACGAUAAAGCGGGUGAAAAGCCCGCUCGCCGGAAGACCAAGGGUUCCUGUCCAACGUUAAUCGGGGCAGGGUGAGUCGACCCCUAAGGCGAGGCCGAAAGGCGUAGUCGAUGGGAAACGGGUUAAUAUUCCCGUACUUGGUGUUACUGCGAAGGGGGGACGGAGAAGGCUAUGUUGGCCGGGCGACGGUUGUCCCGGUUUAAGCGUGUAGGUGUGUGUUCCAGGUAAAUCCGGUUCACUUUAACACUGAGGCGUGAUGACGAGGCACUACGGUGCUGAAGCAACAAAUGCCCUGCUUCCAGGAAAAGCCUCUAAGCAUCA